rnacentral:rRNA from 1 species
UACGUAGGGUCCGAGCGUUGUCCGGAAUUACUGGGCGUAAAGAGCUCGUAGGUGGUUUGUCGCGUUGUUCGUGAAAACUCACAGCUUAACUGUGGGCGUGCGGGCGAUACUGGCAGACUGGAGUACUGCAGGGGAGACUGGAAUUCCUGGUGUAGCGGUGGAAUGCGCAGAUAUCAGGAGGAACACCGGUGGCGAAGGCGGGUCUCUGGGCAGUAACUGACGCUGAGGAGCGAAAGCGUGGGGAGCGAACAGG